rnacentral:precursor_RNA from 1 species
CUCCUCCUCGUCGUCUUCUUUUGCACUGCGCGUGCUCUCGCUCUUCUUCGUCGUUCACCUACCUAGCUACCUCCGCACGAAACAAACAAAAUGGUGAGUGCUGCCGCGCCGCCUGCUGCUUCUCUUCACAUUGUACGUACGUACGUACGCUGUUCCUUCCUUCCCUCAGCAGCUAGCUCUCUAGCGAGUUCGAGCAACGAUC